rnacentral:lncRNA from 1 species
GCAAAGUGCCCUUUGUCUGUCUGCUCUAUUUAGGCUAUGGGCUCUUUGAGGUAAAACCAGCCUUUGACUGGAUAUUUGUGCAGCACCUAAUACAAUGGAAAUCCAGUCUCAGUUUGGUAGUUCUGUAAUACAAAUUAAUAACAAUAACUAGACUUGACUGCUUGACAAAAAGCAAAUAGUUCGGAAAAAGCUGUCUUAAAUCUUUCUAUCCCACUUCCCUAGACCAAAAAAAAUCUACAAGUGUUAUUUCUUUUGGCAGCUGAAACCUAAUCCUACCUUGGUUAGCAUAACAGAGAGAACAGGAAGUGCUGUGAAGGAAUUUUUCAUUCCCUGGGACGUCUUUGAUCCCCCUUCCCUCCCUUUUCCUAUCAGGUUACCAGUCAGAAGUCCCUUAGAAGUCAGCAGGAGUGAGGACCGUAGAGAUUAUUCUGACUGUUCAAAUAGUGCCAUGACAAUCUUGGAGUUUCUCAUGGUCAAAGUGGCAGUGCUGGGGUAACCUACAGCAAUAACAGAGCAUCUGUCAUCCACCCACCAGAAUGAAGAUGUCAUCUGUAAUCUACUUCAAGGUAGGCUCAAAAAAAUCUAUGCCUGAGGAGAGAUUUAGCUCUUGACUACCAAAGUAUCUUAAAAUUCCGAAAUUCCAUGUAUUCUACCUUGCAGUAAGAACAGUUGGACCCAUUUCAUGCUGAGCAAACUGGGUUGCAAAGCUGACAAAUGACUUCCAUUAAUAUAAUUCCACUUGACUCAAAAAAAAAGCAAAGCACAAUCCAACAGGGAAAGUUCAACUAACUGAUUUUUUUUUUUUAUUACACACAGAUGCAAAUAUGUGGUUUCAGGAUACUGCUAUUUUUAUAGUCCUCAGUGUAUCCAUAAUUCUUUGUACUCAGUUCUAUAACAAAUAUGGCUCCAUUAUAUUUUUUGUUUGUUUGUUUUUUGUUUUUUAUUUCCCCCCAAGGCCAUAUUAUAUAUAACAGUUACUCCUAAAUAUUGUGCAUGGUUCAGAUUUUCUGAUAGAAUGACUCACGGUAAUUCUGCUUAGUAGUAAUGAAGAAACAUGACUUGUUCUGACAAAUAAUGCAUGAUAAUCAACAGUGGUUUUGCCACUGAUUCCUUUAUUUGUAAAGCUGUCUAUAAUUGGAAGCCACUGGAAGAUACUGACUUGUUUAAAUGUUUAUUACUGUUGACUGCAGUACUGUUAAACUUGAAAGAUGCCUAAAGAACUGAAGUUAGACUCAAGUCUUUAUUUUUUUCUUCUCUCCUUUUUCUUCUUCCUACAGAGAUGACAGCAUUACUUCUUCCUUCUCUUCUCUGAGAAAAGUAUCAAUAUAGCUACAAAAAAUGACUGGAAGGCAGAGUAAAUAUAUAAUUUCCCUCCUCUUUAUGACUUGAACUUGUGAAAAUCCAGAACCCCUUUUAUUAUUAUUC